AAUGCCGGAUGUUCCACAUGAUCGCAUGUGAUUGUGGGAAAGAUUCUAUCGGCGUGGGAUGGGGUCGCGUCCUAUCAGCUUGUUGGUGAGGUAACGGCUCACCAAGGCUUCGACGGGUAGCCGGCCUGAGAGGGCGACCGGCCACAUUGGGACUGAGAUACGGCCCAGACUCCUACGGGAGGCAGCAGUGGGGAAUAUUGCACAAUGGGCGCAAGCCUGAUGCAGCGACGCCGCGUGAGGGAUGGAGGCCUUCGGGUUGUAAACCUCUUUUGUUUGGGAGCAAGCCUUCGGGUGAGUGUACCUUUCGAAUAAGCGCCGGCUAACUACGUGCCAGCAGCCGCGGUAAUACGUAGGGCGCAAGCGUUAUCCGGAUUUAUUGGGCGUAAAGGGCUCGUAGGCGGCUCGUCGCGUCCGGUGUGAAAGUCCAUCGCUUAACGGUGGAUCUGCGCCGGGUACGGGCGGGCUGGAGUGCGGUAGGGGAGACUGGAAUUCCCGGUGUAACGGUGGAAUGUGUAGAUAUCGGGAA
rnacentral:rRNA from 1 species